rnacentral:rRNA from 1 species
AACGAACGCUGGCGGCAUGGCUAAGACAUGCAAGUCGCACGGACCGUAUAGCAAUAUGCGGUUAGUGGCGAAAGGGAGAGUAAUGAAUAGGUAAUGUACCUUGGACACAGGGAUAACGCCGGGGGCAACCCUUUACGAAAGUGGCGCUAAUACCUGGUGAAGUCGGGACGGGGCAUCCCGUUGCGACCAGAGGGCGGGGAUCGUAAGACCUGCCGGUCUGAGAGCAGCCUAUUUCCAUCACCUAGUUGGUGAGGUAACGGCUCACCAAGGGAUCGACGGGUAGCGGGUGUGAGAGCACGAUCGCCUCAUCGGGACUGAGACACUGCCCGGACACCUACGGUGGCUGCAGUAACGAAUAUUGGGCAAUGGGCGCAAGCCUGACCCAG